UUGCACCUACGGGGCGCAGCAGUGGGGGAUAUUGCACAAUGGGGGGAACCCUGAUGCAGCGACGCCGCGUGGGUGAAGGAGCGUUUCGGCGCGUAAAGCCCUAUCGGCAGGGAAGAAGGAGGACGGUACCCGACUAAGAAGCCCCGGCUAACUACGUGCCAGCAGCCGCGGUAAUACGUAGGGGGCAAGCGUUAUCCGGAUUUACUGGGUGUAAAGGGGGCGCAGCCGGCAGCGCAAGCCAGGAGUGAAAGCCCGGGGCC
rnacentral:rRNA from 1 species